UAUUAGAGGAAGACAUUAAUAGGAUCGAAAGAGAGAUUUCUCUACAUACUGAAUCUAAAGCAGCCGAGAAUAAUUAUGUAAUUCUUAAAGAUAAAAUUAAGACUGUAGAUGAAAAAAUUUCUAAUAUUAAAUCAACUAAGUUUAAGACAGACCAGGAUGAGUACCAGAAGGGGAAUCAGAGGAAUUGGUCCAGAUCUAGAAAUAUGUCGAGACAGACAGUAAACUAUCCUGCAAGUAAUAACAGGUUUUCAAGAAAUUCUAAUUCUAAUUCUAAUUCGUUUUCUGGACGCCGUUUCUCUAAUUCCAAUUUUAAUUCUAAUUUUAAGUUUCACUCAAGUUCUUCCAAUAACCUAUUUUCUAGGAACAUGU